CUGCAGCCCUUUAAGCCAACAGUGCUCUUUUCCCCGUGGGGGUCGGGUGUGCGAUGGCUGCAAACAGCAGCCCCCUCGCUAGUGUAUGCAGCCUGUUCCUUGUAUGAGUUGCCCUAAGGGACCUCAGAGACAGUU